AACGAACGCUGGCGGCAUGCCUAACACAUGCAAGUCGAACGAGACCUUCGGGUCUAGUGGCGCACGGGUGCGUAACGCGUGGGAACCUGCCCUUAGGUUCGGAAUAACUCCCCGAAAGGGGUGCUAAUACCGGAUAAUGUCUUCGGACCAAGGAUUUAUCGCCUUUGGAUGGGCCCGCGUUGGAUUAGCUAGUUGGUAGGGUAAAAGCCUACCAAGGCGACGAUCCAUAGCUGGUCUGAGAGGAUGAUCAGCCACACUGGGACUGAGACACGGCCCAGACUACUGGGGGAGGGGGGGGUGGGGAAUAGUGGAAGAGGGGGGAAGGCAUGAACGACCUAGGCCGGGGAAGUGAGGAGGUUGUGAGGGUAGAAAAGCUCUUUAACCCGGAGUGAUAAUGACAGUACCGGAAGAAUAAGCCCCGGCUAACUCCGUG
rnacentral:rRNA from 1 species